rnacentral:rRNA from 1 species
AGUGAACGCUGGCGGUAGGCCUAACACAUGCAAGUCGAACGGCAGCACAGUAAGAGCUUGCUCUUACGGGUGGCGAGUGGCGGACGGGUGAGGAAUACAUCGGAAUCUACUUUUUCGUGGGGGAUAACGUAGGGAAACUUACGCUAAUACCUCAUACGCCCUACGGGUGAAAGCAGGGGAUCUUCGUACCUUGCGCGAUUGAAUGAGCCGAUGUCGGAUUAGCUAGUUGGCGGGGUAAAGGCCCACCAAGGCGACGAUCCGUAGCUGGUCUGAGAGGAUGAUCAGCCACACUGGAACUGAGACACGGUCCAGACUCCUACGGGAGGCAGCAGUGGGGAAUAUUGGACAAUGGGCGCAAGCCUGAUCCAGCCAUACCGCGUGGGUGAAGAAGGCCUUCGGGUUGUAAAGCCCUUUUGUUGGGAAAGAAAAGCAGCAGGUUAAUACCCCGCUGUUCUGACGGUACCCAAAGAAUAAGCACCGGCUAACUUCGUG